rnacentral:lncRNA from 1 species
UUGAAAAAGGUUAUGAGACAGAGUUAGAUAAUAUAAGACUAACGAUAAAAGUAAGAGUUCAAGAUGAUAAAAGUAGGUUAAGUAAUUUUGAAUCCCUUCCCUUUCCCUACUUGGUAACCUGUUAUUAUAUUUCACAAUUCAAAUUAAGUCUCAUUCAUCACGAUGAAUUAACCCUUAGGUGGUAAUGAUCACUCCCGUGUUUUAUUACCCUAUUCACUAUUAACAACUUUGUAAUCCCUUAGGUGAGAUGAAAUCAUUAAAGAACGUUAAUUUAAAAGUCACAACUCCAAACUACGUAUCCCUACAAUAGCCGCAAGUUACGUAUCCCUACAAUAGCCGCAAGUUAUGUAUCCCUACAAUAACUUUGUUGAAUAAUAAUCGUCAAUUUGAAUAUCAAAAGAAUCUCCCGAAAAUAAUCGAUAUCUAAAUCAAUUUCAACAAUAUGUAUACUAAUGAAAAGCAUUAAACAUAGACGAUAAUCAAAUGAUUAAUAAAGAAUGAAUUGCAAUAAUAUAAUAACCAAUUACACGGAUCAAGUAGUUCUAAGGAAGUUCAUCUACUAAACCUAACCUAAAGAGAUUUAGUUGUUAUUAAGCAUAUUGAACAAUAAAGAAAACAUGCAUAAAAAUAACCUCGAUUCCUUGCGGAGGAAGUUUCGUCUCCCGAUGGUGGGCGAGUGUCUCAUUCAUUUGAGAGCUCCUUAGCCCUCCUUGCUCUUCCUUCUUUGCUCCUUAGAGAGCUUAUAGUUUUCUGAACUUCUGAAUGAAUAAUUGUGAAGGAGGAAAGCUCUAUUUAUAGUUUUUUGGACUUGGGCUCCAAGUUACAUCGUAGUACGAUGUAGUCCAUCGUAGCAUGAUGAUGAUGUCAGAAUUGGAUUUUCGCUUCAACAUGAAAGUUGUAGCUCUUUGUCUUAUCAUUCCAACGCAUGGUCACGGGCGUCGAUCCGAUACUCAUAGCUCCAGUUAUGGCUUUUUUUCAACGAUGUGGUAUAUUCAGCGUAUUUCUUCUUUUUUGCCCUUUUCUAUGCAAUUUCUUCAACUCUUGUUUCUUGAUCAAGUAACUUCAUUCCUGUGGUAUUUUUCAUGCUUUGGCUNNNNNNNNNNNNNNNNNUGUUAUUCUUAACAUGGUAUCAUGAAACCAAUCAUGAUUCUUUAAUUAAAUUUUUUAGGAUGUUUUGUGUUAAGUUUUUCUCUUAAUGACUUAUAUUUAUGACUUUGAUUUGUUUAGAAGGUUCGUGGUGGAAGAGUUGUGCCGUACCCUAUUGUGAGUCUUCCCUCAGAAUUUGAUCAUGUGGAAAAGGGAGACAGUGACAAUAUUUGUCUUUAAUUAAUUUCUUGCAUUUUGAACUAGUUUUUUCAUAGGGGUUGCAGGGGUAGUGCAAGCAUGUUCAUGUUAAGAACAUAUAAAUACACUUAUUGAUCAAAAUGGAAACCAAUUUGAAGUUUUAGCGGCAAUAUAUAUUUAACACAUAGAUGGUAUGCGUUGUGUGAUAUUUAUAAUAUUUGGUAUGGUGUUUAGGUGAUUUUGUUAUACAAUGUGAUUAGUCAGUUUUGACUGAUUUUGAAGGACAUAUUUGAUUGUUUUAUUCAUUUCUCCUAAGUUAACUUCUCUAUUGAAAUUUAAUUUGGAUAAAUUUAAUGUUCCAUCAUAUUUUACUGAUGAUUUGCCAAAAUCAACUGACCUCCUAUCAUUUCCUCAAAAUGUGGCUCCAAUCUUGCGUUAAAAUUUUAAAAGAAAUUGACUGAAUAUGAUGUGAAAACCAGAUUUUGGGUGAUUUUUUUUUAGAUUUUUAUCAUUUUUUUAAUUUAUUUAUUUACAAACAUUUGUUUAUAUAUAUAUAUAAAUGGUGGAAUAUAAUGGUUUUGGUCAAUUAACAUUUGAUAGGAAAAAAACUCCUUUGAUGUUUGUUAAUGAUAACGACAACAAAUGGAACUGCAUUCUUAUUUUUGGAUUUGUGCCAUUUAUCACUGCAAAAUUGGCGGUGAGUGGAAGCGUUAUUAGGUUGCGGCACAGAGACUACAGGAGGGUCAAAGUAUUCAGUUUGGGGUUCCUAAAGUUUUCAAUAAUCAAACUGCCUAUUUUAUUCUUAAACGUUAAAACCAUGUUUUUUUCUAUUAGGAAACCUAAAACAACGGUUAUCUUCCAGGCGUUCCUGUUGGUAAAAAAAACUGUUGCGAUAGGCUAAGACAAUGCCCCAACGGCCUGAAAACUGUUCUCGUAGCCUGUUGGAUCUUCUUAAAUAAAAAUAAUUACAAUAGACCUUAUAAAAAAUAAAUAAAUAAGUUAAAUAUUUAAGGCCAAGGGUUGAACUUUAGUUUUAAUAAUUUAAGGUCUCANNNNNNNNNNNNNNNNNNNNNNNNNNNNNNNNNNNNNNNNAAAUUUACUUAAAAUUUAAAUAUCAUAUUUUAUAUUUAUAAAUAAAUGAAACUUUUUUAUGCUUACUUCAGAUGAAAUUGUAGUUCUCUCAACCCUGUAGUUCUUUUGCUACCUACCUUUUCUUCCUUUACUGGUCGUGUGCUAUUUCUAAUAUUAGGGGUUGAUUUUCAUCUUUUUCAUACUCAUUCAUCUCUUUACGUGGAAAUAGUAGUCUCUUUUGAUUAUUUACUAUGUUGGUUAGGCUCUGUACCUUUAAUUUUACCACACAGCAUGGAGUCUUUUUUUUUUUNNNNNNNNNNNNNNNNNNNNNNNNNNNNNNNNNNNNNNNNNNNNNNCAAAUAUAUAUAAAAUAACGGAAGUCAAAUAGAAUUAGAGUUAUGGGUUCGAACCCGUCAUUUCACCUUGUGUAUGUGAGUUUCCAAUGGCUUACCAUUUCAUCUAUCUAAAAAAAUUUAGAGUUAUGGGCAUCAAAGUAAAAAAAUAUUCAAUGGUUAAUCAUCCAAUAUUAAGAUUGAAGAAGAUCAUUUCAUUACCAACAUUUUAAAGAUAAAAAUACAAUUAUUAGUUGCUACCAGUUGAAGAAGAUCAUUUAAUUUAAUUUCAUUGCCAACAUUUUAAAAAUAAAAAUACAAUUUUAUUUGCUACUUUUUUUUUAUUGAAAAAGAAAUAGAGACAAGAGUCAAGAGAAAAAAAAAAUAGAAGCCAAGCAUCACCGAAAAUAAGUACCAAAAAUACUAAAAAGAAAAUAAAUAAAAAUAACAACAAGCCACAAACACCAAAAUCCGGCAAUCAAUAGGAGCACCGGAGACACACCUAAGCACGAAAAACAACCUGCACCAAAAUUAAAAACGGUAAUAGAGAAAAGAAGGUCGGAAAGAAAUACAAAGAACGUACAAUUAACACACGAGUCCGAGAAAACGGAGCCCAACACCAACACCCCAAUAAUUAUUAGUUGUUACCGGUACGGAAGAACUCUUUUAGAACACAAACGCCACUUUGGCAUUCUAAAUACUGAUCAAAUUGAACUUUUUUAUCAAGAUAGAUUAUAUAACAAUCUAUAGCAGUUUGACAUUGUUUGGAAACGUAGGGAAGUUCGAAUGAUAUUAUCUUAUUUGGAUAACGGGUAGAUGUUGGAAUGUAAUUUGCAUUAUUGUCAACCGUCAUUGUAGUAAGAAAUAGAGUAAGAAAUAAAAUUAGAGCAGAAACAAACUUGAGAGAUUUAGUCAUUCUCUCUUUCUUCUCUCUGUAUGUAAAAAAUAGAACGCAAUUUGAUCAAUUUAUAGUGUAUUGAUCUCAGCAACACUUAGGUUGAUCAAUUUACUAUAAAAAAAAUAAAUAAAAAACUUAAUUAAAGUUGAUCAAUGGAUAGUUUUUGCCCCUUUAGAGGGCUUAGUAAAUAUCUCUCACAAAUUUUUUUAAAUAAAUUGUUUCUCUUUUUCUUCAUAGCCGCCGCCUCCCCACCUUAACCUAGUUUUUUUCUUCUUCUUGAUCUAUCAAGGAGGGGUGGUUUUAGCGUCAAUUUUUGACCCAAAAUCACCUUUCAUAAUUGUUUUUCAUUUUCUUCUUUAUUUAAAUAAGUGAUCUUCACAUUGAUCAAAUUUUUCUUUUGUGUUUUCUUUUUUGUGAUUUUGCCGUCUGAGUGCGGCGUUGUGUUGUUCGUCGUCUUGUGUGACGUUUUUGUUGUCUCGUAUUGUGCGUUGUUCAUUUGAUUUUUAUUGAAAAGAUCGGCGUCAGUCAAUUACAAAUUCAACCAAUGAUUUGGGCUUCAAUGCUGCAGAUCCGGAAGCAUGGAUACUUCGGGGACUUUAACUUUAUCAUAUUNNNNNNNNNNNNNNNNNNNNNNNNNNNNNNNNUGAUUAUGUGGUUGUAUUUGAUGUAAUCUAUCAAUUUGAAUGAAUGAAUAUCAUUUUGUUAUUGUCAAAAAAAAAAAAAAUUAACUAGUUUAAAAAAAAUUAUUUGAAAUUUAAGUCAAAAAUCUUAUUUGGGUCAAAAAAAAAAUUAAGUAGUUUAAAGACAAUUGACUUUUAUUCUAUAUUUAAGNNNNNNNNNNNNNNNNNNNNNNNNNNNNNNNNNNNNNNNNNNNNNNNNNNNNNNNNNNNNNNNNNNNNNNNNNNNNNNNNNNNNNNNNNNNNNNNNNNNNNNNNNNNNNNNNNNNNNNNNNNNNNNNNNNNNNNNNNNNNNNNNNNNNNNNNNNNNNNNNNCAAUUUGAAUGAAUGAAUAUCAUUUUGUUAUUGUCAAAAAAAAAAAAAAUUUACUAGUUUAAAAAAAAUUAUUUGAAAUUUAAGUCAAAAAUCUUAUUUGGGUCAAAAAAAAAUUAAGUAGUUUAAAGACAAUUGACUUUUAUUCUAUAUUUAAGUUUGUCAUUAUAUUAAGGUAGAGAAUUCAUUUAGAAUUAAAUAUUUUAAAAUUGUUAUAUAAUAUUGUUAAAAUAUAAGUAGAAUUAUUGAAAUGUUGUAACUUCGUACCAAUUAAAUAUUUUUAGCACCGAUCAAUCGGUUGUAUUAUUUGCCCCUUGAGAAUGCUUAGUAAAUGUCUCUUCAUGUGAGCAUUGUGUUGAGUUUGUCCCUUAAACCCACUUACCAGUGAACAGAACGAGUAACAUAAAAAAUUUCGAAUCAUCAUUAACAUUUUUUAUCUCUACUUUUAAAUCAAUUCAUGUAUAAUUUUCAAAAUUUUGAAUUUUUUUUUUGGACAUAUUUAUUAUAUUAUAGAAAUCUCUUAUAAAAGUUUAACAUUAUUUAACACAUAGGAUAAAAUAAAUAAAAAUAAUAAUUAAGUUUUUGGCCUUUAAAAAUUCAUAUUUAGUUUAUAUUUUGUUAAAAAGUUAAUUCUUUUUGUAGGAGAAAUUUUUAUAAUAUUAUAAACAUCAAUAAAAGCACUCAUUCAAAAAUAUUAAGAGUACACAUGAGUUGAGUUAAAAUCUUCCUAAUCCUAGAAAAUUUUACCAAGUUUCUUCGAUUAGUCCCCAACGGCCACAUAAAUUGACAGCCUUGCAAAUGCACGAAAUUUUCAUUAUAAUAAAAAGAGUAUCGAUCCACAUAAACUAAGAAGAAACAAUUUUAAAAUGAGUAGUGCUAUAUGUCCCGAGAAAGUACCUCCCGAAAAAUCACGAAUACAAUUUAUCUUUUAUUCUUUUCCGUUUAAAUAUUAAAAAAAAAAAAAAAAAAAAAACCCCCCNCAAUUCAAAAACACCAUUGAACUUAACUCUAAUCUCACAGACCUCAAUUUUUUCGAUGACAAUGUGGCUACCAUGAAAUCAUCACCGGCGAUGAUGUGGUUGUUGAUGCAUAAUAUAAUAUGGAUCAUAUCCAUUCUUUGAAGAUGAGAAACUGGACUUUAAUCAGGAAAACAAAUAGAGACAAAAACUGAAGUUUUGAGUUUUAAAAAAAAAAACAAGUAAAAGAAAAAAGAGAGAGAAACUAGACAAGUCGGUGGCCGACAAGGCACUACAAAUCCUAGCCACGUUAAUGACAGUCAAUUAUAUGAUGUUUUUAGUAGUAAUUUAGGAUAGUUUUAAUAGUAAUUGAAGCCCUAGGAAAAGUGAAGUUACAAGACUCAGAAGCAAGAAAAGUGGAAAAAGGGCAAAAAUGUAAUAUGGCAACGCAACAAUCGUACCCACGAUGAGUCUCAGCGUGGCGCGAUGAGACGGCGAUUAAAUUGAAGAAUAUCUGCAGAAAAUCUUUUCCAUCGUGGCACGAUGGCUUGUCAUUGUGGCACCAUGAUGACUUGAAGAAUAUGCAGAAAAUCCUGAGAAGAUCUUCCAUCGCACCACGAUGGGUGCGAUGGAUGCGCAGAAAAAGCUUAAACCCAGCUGAAAAACUAUAAAUAGAGCCUCCUUCCUUCACUAUUAUUCAUCCCAAAAUAUUCAGAAAUAUUAAGAGCUGUUCAAUAUUCACUAUAGAGUAGGAGAACUCUAAGGAGAAGGCAAGGAGGUCAAGGAACUCCAAGCCUAACAAAGUUCUUUUCUUUCUGCUUUUUGUAAUUUAUUUUUCCUAGGUUAGGUGGAGUCGAGGAACUCCCUUACAAAUGCUUGGUUGUAUAAUUUAUAUUAUUUGGGUAUAAAUUCGGUUAUUUCUACAAUAAACUCUUUUAUUGUCCGGUUUUAUAUUUAUUUUAAUAUUGAUCACAUUAGAAUAAAAUCUAAGGACCUAGUGGAUAUCGCAUAGGAAACGAAGCUAGUAAUCCCGAACGAAAAAUGGUAUGCUAGGGCCAACAUGAGACCAUUAAAUUCAGUAUCUGAGGUCUUAGUAUAAGAUUAGAACGCACAAUAACUUCUACCUUAACACAGUGCAUUUGCACGCCUCAGUCAUCAAAACAACCCAAAUUUAUUAUUCACUAUGUAAGUGUUUAAUUAUUUUGUGACGUGCUUUUUAAGUAAGUUAAUAACUUUAGUUAUUUAUCGAAUACUUUAGUUAUUAAGCGAGUAGUGAGUUAACGCGUGUUGGAUCAAGUUAUUGGGCUUGAGGCCCAAUGGGCCUUGUGGACUUGUGAGGGGGCGCCAUAUGGCCUAAGAGGGAGAGGGAACAUUUCAUUUUCUCAUGUUCUUGUGAGAGGUUAGAGAGAAGGAAGAGAAGAGGAGCUAGGGCAUAGAGAAAGGGGAGAAUGUCGAUUUCUCCUUACCCGAACUUUCUCCAUCCCAUUUUCGUUUUAGUUUAUAUGAGUUUUUCUUAAUGAAAAUCGAAUAUAAGGUUCAUAACAUGUUUAACAUGCUCUUGUCAUGAUGUAUGAACGAAUUUAAUGGAUAAAAACGGAAUUUAUAGAUGAUUAAACUCAAGAACAUUGUGUUUUUGUGAGUUUUGAGUAAAAGUAUUAAAUCUUUACUUUUUCGAUGUAUAUGUUGUAGAUCGGUGAAAUAAUCCGUCCUUUUGUGUUUGGAUAUGUUUGUUGCACUUGAAUAUAAACUUAUUUGGGGUUUAUAUCAUGAAAAAUGGGAUUUUUGGGUGAAAAACGCAAGGUUUGAGCAUUCCUGACAGAAGGCCUUCGCCACUGCUCGCCAGGAGCAAGUGUUCCACUGGUGCUCACCAGGCCUUCGCUCAGCGAACAGGGCAGGUUCGCCACGGCUCGCCACCGUUCUCUCAGCGAACAGCACUGGACAACAACUUUUUAUUAAUCGUUUUAAGUGCACUAGGGCAUCUUUCGAGACCAUCUUGGUAUUUUUUUAGGUGUAUUUUCAGCUAAUAUUGGUGUUGCAACCUCUCUUUAUGCUGAAAUUUGCGCUGCAAUUUAUGCUAUUGAAUUUGCUUCUGCUAAAGGAUGGACCCAUCUUUGGCUUGAAUGUGACUCUAUCCUCUUAGUUCAAGCUUUUACUAUUGUGAAUAUGGUCCCUUGGAAGCUGAAGGUUAAAUGGAAAAAUUGUCUUCAUAUCGUUAAAAAAUUUCGUUUUAGAUUUUCUCAUAUUUAUAGAAAAGGAAAUACUUGUGCAGACAGAUUAGCUAAUGCUGGUUUUUUUGUUGAUGGGUUAGUCUGGUGGGACCAAUUACCAAGUUGCUCUAGAGAGAGUUUCUUUAGAGAUAGAGUUAGUUUGUCUAAUUAUCGCUUUCGCUAAUUUUGUUUUGGUGGGUUUGGUUUAUGCCCCACCACCCUUUCUUUUGUUUUUCAUUUUAAUAAUACUUUUUGUGAGAUGGUAGAGGAGUGGUAGUGCAUUGAGGUGCCAACAUAGUUGGGAUGUCGAUGACUUACUAUGAUGUCAUGCUCUCCAUUUUUGCUUUAAAAAAAAAUAAUAAUUGUCUAUUUUAUUCUUAAACGUUAAAACCAUGUUUUUUUCUAUUAGGAAACCUAAAACAACAGUUAUCUUCCAGGCGUUGGUGUUGGUAAAAAAAUUGUUGCGAUAGGCUAAGACAAUGCCCCAACGGCCUGAAAACUGUUCUCGUAGCCUAUUGGAUCUUCUUAAAUAAAAAUAAUUACAAUAGACCUUAUAAAAAAUAAAUAAAUAAGUUAAAUAUUUAAGGCGAAGGGUUGAACUUUAGUUUUAAUAAUUUAAGGUCUCGAGUUUAACAAUUAAAUUAAAAAUAUACUUAAAAUUUAAAUAUCAUAUUUUAUAUUUAUAAAUAAAUAAAACUUUUUUAUGCUUACUUCAGAUGAAAUUGUAGUUCUCUCAACCCUGUAGUUCUUUUGCUACCUACCCUUUCUUCCUUUACUGGUCGUGUGCUAUUUCUAAUAUUAGGGGUUGAUUUUCAUCUUUUUCAUACUCAUCUCUUUACGUGGAGAUAGUAGUCUCUUUUGAUUAUUUACUAUGUUGGUUAGGCUCUGUACCUUUAAUUUUACCACACAGAAUGGAGUCCUUUUUUUUUAAUGGCAAAUAUAUAUAUAUAAAAUAAUGGAAGUCAAAUAGAAUUAGAGUUAUGGGUUCGGACCCGUCAUUUCAUCUUGUGUAUGUGAGUUUUCAAUAGCUUAUCAUUUCAUCUAUCUAGAAAAAAUUAGAGUUAUGGGCAUCAAAGUAAAAAAACAUUCAAUGGUUAAUCAUCCAAUAUUAAGAGAGAAGAAGAUCAUUUCAUUACCAACAUUUUAAAGAUAAAAAUACAAUUAUUAGUUGCUACUAGUAGAAGAAGAUCAUUUAAUUUAAUUUCAUUGCCAACAUUUUAAAAAUAAAAAUACAAUUUUGUUUGCUACUUUUUUUUUUUAUUGAAAAAGAAAUAGAGACAAGAGUCAAGAGAAAAAAAAUAGAAGCCAUGCAUCAUCGAAAAUAAGUACCAAAAGUACUAAAAAGAAAAUAAAUAAAAAUAACAACACGCCACAAACACCAAAAUCCGACUAUCAACAGGAGCACCGGAGACACACCUAAGCACGAAAAACAACCUGCACCAAAAUUAAAAACGGUAAUAGAGAAAAGAAGGUCGGAAAGAAAUACAAAGAACAAUUAACUCACGAGUCCGAGAAAACGGAACCCAACACCAACACCCCAAUAAUUAUUAGUUGCUACCGGUAGAACUCUUUCCUGCAUAUAUGGUAAUGAGAACACAAAUGCCACUUUAGAAGUUUUUUAUCAUGAUAGAUUCUAUAACAAUCUAUAUCAGAUUCACAUUCUUUGUAACCGUUGGGAAUGUAAUUUGCAUUAUUGUCAACCGUCAUUGUAGUAAGAAAUAAAAUUAGAGCAGAAACAAACUUGAGAGAUUUAGUCAUUCUUUCUUUCUUCUCUCUGUAUGUAAAAAAUAGAACGCAAUUUGAUCAAUUUAUAUUGUAUUGACCUCAGCAACACUUAGGUUGAUCAAUUUACUAUAAAAAAAAAAGAAAAAAUAAAAACUUAAUUAAAGUUGAUCAAUGGAUAGUUUUUGCCCCUUUAGAGGGCUUAGUAAAUAUCUCUCACAAGAUUUACAUUUCAUAAUUAACUAGUUUAAAAAAAAUUAUUUGAAAUUUAAGUCAAAA